rnacentral:rRNA from 1 species
GACGAACCGUGCGAACGUUGUUCGGAAUCACUGGGCUUAAAGGGCGCGUAGGCGGACCACCCAGUCCGGGGUGAAAUCUUUCGGCUUAACCGGAAAAGGGCCUUGGAUACUGGUGGUCUCGAGGAAGGUAGGGGCAUGCGGAACUUCCGGUGGAGCGGUGAAAUGCGUUGAUAUCGGAAGGAACGCCGGUGGCGAAAGCGGCGUGCUGGACCUUUGCUGACGCUGAGGCGCGAAAGCCAGGGGAGCGAACGGG